GAUGAACGCUGGCGGCGUGCCUAAUACAUGCCAGUCGAGCGAACGGACGAGAAGCUUGCUUCUCUGAUGUUAGCGGCGGACGGGUGAGUAACACGUGGAUAACCGACCUAUAAGACUGGGAUAACUUCGGGAAACCGGAUCUAAUACCGGAUAAUAUUUUGAACCGCAUGGUUCAAAAGUGAAAGACGGUCUUGCUGUCACUUAUAGAUGGAUCCGCGCUGCAUUAGCUAGUUGGUAAGGUAACGGCUUACCAAGGCAACGAUGCAUAGCCGACCUGAGAGGGUGAUCGGCCACACUGGAACUGAGACACGGUCCAGACUCCUACGGGAGGCAGCAGUAGGGAAUCUUCCGCAAUGGGCGAAAGCCUGACGGAGCAACGCCGCGUGAGUGAUGAAGGUCUUCGGAUCGUAAAGCUCUGUUAUUAGGGAAGAACAUAUGUGUAAGUAUCUGUGCACAUCUUGACGGUACCUAAUCAGAAAGCCACGGCUAACUACGUG
rnacentral:rRNA from 1 species